GAUAGUGAACCAGUACCGUGAGGGAAAGGCGAAAAGAACCCCGGCGAGGGGAGUGAAAAAGAACCUGAAACCGUGUACGUACAAGCAGUGGGAGCACAGGUUUACCUGUGUGACUGCGUACCUUUUGUAUAAUGGGUCAGCGACUUAUAUUCUGUAGCAAGGUUAACCGUAUAGGGGAGCCGUAGGGAAACCGAGUCUUAACCGGGCGUUAAGUUGCAGGGUAUAGACCCGAAACCCGGUGAUCUAGCCAUGGGCAGGUUGAAGGUUGGGUAACACUAACUGGAGGACCGAACCGACUAAUGUUGAAAAAUUAGCGGAUGACCUGUGGCUGGGGGUGAAAGGCCAAUCAAACCGGGAGAUAGCUGGUUCUCCCCGAAAGCUAUUUAGGUAGCGCCUCGUGAAUUCAUCUCCGGGGGUAGAGCACUGUUUCGGCUAGGGGGCCAUCCCGGCUUACCAACCCGAUGCAAACUGCGAAUACCGGAGAAUGUUAUCACGGGAGACACACGGCGGGUGCUAACGUCCGUCGUGAAGAGGGAAACAACCCAGACCGCCAGCUAAGGUCCCAAAGUCAUGGUUAAGUGGGAAACGAUGUGGGAAGGCCCAGACAGCCAGGAUGUUGGCUUAGAAGCAGCCAUCAUUUAAAGAAAGCGUAAUAGCUCACUGGUCGAGUCGGCCUGCGCGGAAGAUGUAACGGGGCUAAACCAUGCACCGAAGCUGCGGCAGCGAACGUAUCACCCAAGACAACUUUACGGAGUUGACGAUUGACGGAGCGAAGCGACGUCAAAGCGUUCAUUAAAGUCGAGUUGGCUUAGGGAUACGUUCGUUGGGUAGGGGAGCGUUCUGUAAGCCUGUGAAGGUGUGUCGUGAGGCAUGCUGGAGGUAUCAGAAGUGCGAAUGCUGACAUAAGUAACGAUAAAGCGGGUGAAAAGCCCGCUCGCCGGAAGACCAAGGGUUCCUGUCCAACGUUAAUCGGGGCAGGGUGAGUCGACCCCUAAGGCGAGGCCGAAAGGCGUAGUCGAUGGGAAACGGGUUAAUAUUCCCGUACUUGGUGUUACUGCGAAGGGGGGACGGAGAAGGCUAUGUUGGCCGGGCGACGGUUGUCCCGGUUUAAGCGUGUAGGUGUGUGUUCCAGGUAAAUCCGGUUCACUUUAACACUGAGGCGUGACGACGAGGCACUACGGUGCUGAAGCAACAAAUGCCCUGCUUCCAGGAAAAGCCUCUAAGCAUCAGGUAACAC
rnacentral:rRNA from 1 species